UUGAGAUUUAAACAAAGGCAAACGCAGCGUGGUAUAAACUGUGUAUAAAUUGUUAACUAUUCUACCAAGGAAAUAAUGUAGAAUUCUGUCAACUAAAUAGCUUCCAUUCUUGUUCUGCUGUUCACACACUACUUACACAGUCCCAGUUCUAGUUCGGUUCAUUAAUCUGCAAUUAUGAGAUAUUCAAAAAG